CCUACGGGCGGCAGCAGUGGGGAAUAUUGCACAAUGGGGGGAACCCUGAUGCAGCGACGCCGCGUGGGUGAAGGAGUAUUUCGGUAUGUAAAGCCCUAUCAGCAGGGAAGAACAAUGACGGUACCUGCUUAAGUAGCACCGGCUAAAUUCGUUCCAGCAGCCGCGGUAAUACGUAUGGUGCAAGCGUUAUCCGGAUUUACUGGGUGGAAAGGGAGCGCAGGCGGAGCGUUAAGCCUGAUGUGAAAGCCCGCGGCCCAACCGCGGGACUGCAUUUGGAACUGGCGCCCUGGAGUGCCGGAGGGGUAGGCGGAAUUCCUAGUGUAGCGGUGAAAUGCGUAGAUAUUAGGAGGAACACCAGUGGCGAAGGCGGCUUACUGGACGGUGACUGACGCUGAGGCUCGAAAGCGUGGGGAGCAAACAGGAUUAGAUACCCUUGUAGUC
rnacentral:rRNA from 1 species